UGGCUCAGACGGUAAAGCGCCUGCCUGCAGUGCGGGAAACCUGGGUUCAAUUCCUGG
rnacentral:tRNA from 1 species